rnacentral:rRNA from 1 species
UACGUAGGGUGCGAGCGUUAAUCGGAAUUACUGGGCGUAAAGCGUGCGCAGGCGGUUUUGUAAGCCAGAUGUGAAAUUCCCGGGCUUAACCUGGGAAUGGCAUUUGGGACUGCAAGGCUCGAGUGCGGCAGAGGAGACUGGAAUUCCUGGUGUAGCAGUGAAAUGCGUAGAUAUCAGGAGGAACACCGAUGGCGAAGGCAGGUCUCUGGGCUGACACUGACGCUGAGGAGCGAAAGCGUGGGGAGCGAACAGG